rnacentral:rRNA from 1 species
UAAUACGAAGGGGGCUAGCGUUGUUCGGAUUUACUGGGCGUAAAGCGCGUGUAGGCGGGCCGUUAAGUUGGGGGUGAAAGCCCGGAGCUCAACUCCGGAAUUGCCUUCAAAACUGGCGGCCUGGAGCAGAUGAGAGGCGAGUGGAAUUCCGAGUGUAGAGGUGAAAUUCGUAGAUAUUCGGAGGAACACCAGUGGCGAAGGCGACUCGCUGGCAUCUUGCUGACGCUGAGACGCGAAAGCGUGGGGAGCAAACAGGAUUAGAUACCCUGGUAGUCCACGCUGUAAACGAUGAGAGCUAGUUGUCGGCACGCAUGCGUGUCGGUGACGCAGCUAACGCAUUAAGCUCUCCGCCUGGGGAGUACGGCCGCAAGGUU